AUGAACGCUAGCUACAGGCUUAACACAUGCAAGUCGAGGGGCAGCAUUUCAGUUUGCUUGCAAACUGGAGAUGGCGACCGGCGCACGGGUGAGUAACACGUAUCCAACCUGCCGAUAACUCGGGGAUAGCCUUUCGAAAGAAAGAUUAAUACCCGAUGGUAUAAUCAGACCGCAUGGUCUUGUUAUUAAAGAAUUUCGGUUAUCGAUGGGGAUGCGUUCCAUUAGGCAGUUGGUGAGGUAACGGCUCACCAAACCUUCGAUGGAUAGGGGUUCUGAGAGGAAGGUCCCCCACAUUGGAACUGAGACACGGUCCAAACUCCUACGGGAGGCAGCAGUGAGGAAUAUUGGUCAAUGGGCGCAGGCCUGAACCAGCCAAGUAGCGUGAAGGAUGACUGCCCUAUGGGUUGUAAACUUCUUUUAUAUGGGAAUAAAGUUUUCCACGUGUGGAAUUUUGUAUGUACCAUAUGAAUAAGGAUCGGCUAACUCCGUGCCAGCAGCCGCGGUAAUACGGAGGAUCCGAGCGUUAUCCGGAUUUAUUGGGUUUAAAGGGAGCGUAGGUGGACAGUUAAGUCAGUUGUGAAAGUUUGCGGCUCAACCGUAAAAUUGCAGUUGAUACUGGCUGUCUUGAGUACAGUAGAGGUGGGCGGAAUUCGUGGUGUAGCGGUGAAAUGCUUAGAUAUCACGAAGAACUCCGAUUGCGAAGGCAGCUCACUGGACUGCAACUGACACUGAUGCUCGAAGGUGUGGGUAUCAAACAGGAUUAGAUACCCUGGUAGUCCACACAGUAAACGAUGAAUACUCGCUGUUUGCGAUAUACAGUAAGCGGCCAAGCGAAAGCAUUAAGUAUUCCACCUGGGGAGUACGCCGGCAACGGUGAAACUCAAAGGAAUUGACGGGGGCCCGCACAAGCGGAGGAACAUGUGGUUUAAUUCGAUGAUACGCGAGGAACCUUACCCGGGCUUAAAUUGCAUUUGAAUAUAUUGGAAACAGUAUAGUCGUAAGACAAAUGUGAAGGUGCUGCAUGGUUGUCGUCAGCUCGUGCCGUGAGGUGUCGGCUUAAGUGCCAUAACGAGCGCAACCCUUAUCUUUAGUUACUAACAGGUCAUGCUGAGGACUCUAGAGAGACUGCCGUCGUAAGAUGUGAGGAAGGUGGGGAUGACGUCAAAUCAGCACGGCCCUUACGUCCGGGGCUACACACGUGUUACAAUGGGGGGUACAGAAGGCAGCUACCUGGUGACAGGAUGCUAAUCCCAAAAGCCUCUCUCAGUUCGGAUCGAAGUCUGCAACCCGACUUCGUGAAGCUUGAUUCGCUAGUAAUCGCGCAUCAGCCAUGGCGCGGUGAAUACGUUCCCGGGCCUUGUACACACCGCCCGUCAAGCCAUGAAAGCCGGGGGUACCUGAAGUACGUAACCGCAAGGAGCGUCCUAGGGUAAAACUGGUAAUUGGGGCU
rnacentral:rRNA from 1 species